rnacentral:rRNA from 1 species
UACGAAGGGGGCUAGCGUUGUUCGGAAUUACUGGGCGUAAAGCGUAUGCAGGCGGAUCUCUAAGUCGGGGGUGAAAUCCUGAGGCUCAACCUCAGAACUGCCCUUCGAUACGUGGAGAUCUUGAGUCCGGGAGAGGUGAGUGGAACUGCGAGUGUAGAGGUGAAAUUCGUAGAUAUUCGCAAGAACACCAGUGGCGAAGGCG